rnacentral:rRNA from 1 species
AGCGCAACCCUCGUUCUUAGUUGCCAGCAUUCAAGGUGGGCACUCUAGGGAGACUGCCGGUGAUAAGCCCGGAGGAAGGUGGGGAUGACGUCAAGUCAUCAUUGCCCCUUACGUUCUGGGCUACACACGUACUACAGAUGGUUGGGACAAAGGGCAGCAAGACCGCGAGGUGGAGACGAAUCCCAGCAAACCCAGCCUCACGUUCAGAUUGCUAGGGCUAGCAACUGGC